AGAGUUUGAUCCUGGCUCAGGACGAACGCUGGCGGCGUGCCUAACACAUGCAAGUCGAGCGGAGACAGUGAGUAGCUUGCUAUGAGCUGUUUUAGCGGCGGACGGGUGAGUAACGCGUGAGCAACCUUUCCCAGACAGGGGAAUAACACACCGAAAGGUGUACUAAUACCGCAUAAGACCACGGGAUCACAUGGUUCUGAGGUAAAAGAUUUAUCGGUUUGGGGUGGGCUCGCGUCCGAUUAGGUAGUUGGUGAGGUAACGGCCCACCAAGCCGACGAUCGGUAGCCGACCUGAGAGGGUGAUCGGCCACAUUGGGACUGAGACACGGCCCAAACUCCUACGGGAGGCAGCAGUGGGGAAUAUUGCACAAUGGGGGAAACCCUGAUGCAGCGACGCCGCGUGAAGGAAGAAGUAUCUCGGUAUGUAAACUUCUAUCAGCAGGGAAGAUAGUGACGGUACCUGACUAAGAAGCCCCGGCUAACUACGUGCCAGCAGCCGCGGUAAUACGUAGGGGGCAAGCGUUGUCCGGAAUAAUUGGGCGUAAAGGGCGCGUAGGCGGCUCGGUAAGUCUGGAGUGAAAGUCCUGCUUUUAAGGUGGGAAUUGCUUUGGAUACUGUCGGGCUUGAGUGCAGGAGAGGUUAGUGGAAUUCCCAGUGUAGCGGUGAAAUGCGUAGAGAUUGGGAGGAACACCAGUGGCGAAGGCGACUAACUGGACUGUAACUGACGCUGAGGCGCGAAAGUGUGGGGAGCAAACAGGAUUAGAUACCCUGGUAGUCCACACUGUAAACGAUGAAUGCUAGGUGUAGGGGGUAUCGACCCCUUCUGUGCCGCAGUCAACACAAUAAGCAUUCCGCCUGGGGAGUACGGCCGCAAGGUUGAAACUCAAAGGAAUUGACGGGGGCCCGCACAAGCAGCGGAGCAUGUGGUUUAAUUCGACGCAACGCGAAGAACCUUACCAGGUCUUGACAUCCACUUAAACUUACAGAGAUGUAAGGUGUGCUUGCACAAAGUGAGACAGGUGGUGCAUGGUUGUCGUCAGCUCGUGUCGUGAGAUGUUGGGUUAAGU
rnacentral:rRNA from 1 species